rnacentral:tRNA from 1 species
UGGCUCAGUGGAUAGAGUGUCAGCCUGCGGACUGAAGGGUCCUGGGUUCGAUUCCCAG